rnacentral:lncRNA from 1 species
ACAGAGCAAGUCCAGCAAGAGUUGAACACAGGCUGCCAGAAUUCCACCCUUGUCUCAUUCCGAGAUUGUGUGCUGAGGGUUUUCAACUGCAUCUCUAAAGGGAAGGCCAAAGAAAGAGCAACAGGAAAGGAUGGUAAAAAGGGGGUAGAAAGGAAGAAGGAAGGGAAGAAAAAAGGGAAAACAGCAAGCUCUCUUUCCAGAGCCACACAUUUUUUUCUGUUUGCUCAGUGGCAGUCUGUUAAAGAAAUACUUCAUUGUCACUGAACACAGAGUCAUUAAAGGCACCUUGGAAAUUUGGACCCUUUUACUAGAAUCAGGGCUUAAAUAGCAACUUAAUUUAUGACACUUCUCGAGGCUGAUGGCGUUUUUGCUCUAAGGCACACAGAGCACUGCAUUAUCUGUCAUUUUCAUUAGAUUCAAGCUACAGCUGGGCCAAAAAGACUUAGUUCUAGCAUAUGUGCUCAAAAUGGCCAAGCUGCGAUUGUCCAAAUUCACCCUUUCAAGAUUGCAUUACUGAACAACUGGAGCCAAAGCUAGAAAUUGGAGAGAGCAAAGCGCCUGAAUUCCACUUGGAAAAUGGCAAACACCAUAGGCUCUGAAGAUUGAAGCGUAUUAUCAUGACUAACUCAAAGGGUCAGAGGAGACACUGGCUUCCACCAGCAAGCUCAACGUCUUUUGGCACAUCUGAGGUGGGGAUGGAAGCUGCAAGAGCCUAGAUUUUGACACCACUUAACAAAGAAAAGCCAAUGUCUUUCAUUCCCCUCUGUGCCUUUCAGUAUACCUUGGCCAUGUGGAAUGCAAUAGGUUCUGUACCCAGGUCUUGACCUGGGCCAGCUGGUCUUGAGCCCCGUAGGACGUAGUCUGUGGCCUGCUGCAUACUUGGAUAGUGUGGGGUGUAUAAAAAGCAACUCAUCCUGAGGGAGAAAAGCAUCCAACUGUCAUAAGCUUGAGUCUCCAUGCAAGUCUCCACUAUUUUAUAAAUUCAGUUCUUUAUGUGAACAUGCGAAGAAGACAUAUUGAAAAAUUAGCCCCACAAAGAAAUAAAUACAAAAAUCCCCACUCCAGGUUGCUGGAAAUGGGAGAACCACAGGGCUGGGGAAGAUGGUCACUCCACCCAGUGGACUUCAUGUUAUUUGAAGCAGACAUUGAAAAAAAAAAGAGAGAGAGAGAGAGAGACUAGUUGUUCAAGCAGAGAAAAAGAAAGUAAAAAGGCCAGUGGGAAUGUAAAAUAGUGCAGCCACUGUGGAAACAGUACAGGGGUUCCUCAAAAUAUUAAACAUAGAAUAACCAUAUGACCCAGCAACUCCGCUAUUGGGUCUAUACCCUGAAGAAUUGAAGAGAUACUUGUACACCCAUGUUCAUAGCAGCAUUAUUCACAAUAACCAAAGUGGAAGCAACUCAAGUGUUCAUUGGUAGAUGAAUAAAUGAAUAAAUAGGCAAAAUGCCAUAGAGACAAAGUAGAACAGCACUCCCAAGGGCUGAGAAGAAGGGGGAAUGGAGAAUUACUGUUUAAUUCAGGGUUACUGGUACAGGGUUCCAGCUGGGGAAGAUGAAAGGAUUCUGGAGAUGGAUGGCAGUAAUGAUUAUACAACAAUAUGAAUGCACUUAAUACCACUGAGUUGUACACUUAAAAAUGGUUAAAAUGGCA